rnacentral:lncRNA from 1 species
ACUUUUGCUCCAUUACCCAUCUUGAGGUCCAUCUCACCUCUCUCUAGUCUCCUAGGCCUUGCCAGAACCUGCAACGAAUUACAUAUAUGAUAAGCACUACCGGUAUCCAAUACCCAUGUGUUAUCAUAAGAGUCUGACAAAUGGAGACUGAUCAUGAAUGUACCUGAAGCUUCAUCAAGCUUUUGUUUCACCCUAUCUGC